GGCCUACGGGGGGCAGCAGUAGGGAAUCUUCCACAAUGGACGAAAGUCUGAUGGAGCAACGCCGCGUGAGUGAAGAAGGGUUUCGGCUCGUAAAGCUCUGUUGGUAGUGAAGAAAGAUAGAGGUAGUAACUGGCCUUUAUUUGACGGUAAUUACUUAGAAAGUCACGGCUAACUACGUGCCAGCAACCGCGGGAAUAAGUAGGUGGCAAGCGUUGGCCGGAUUUAUUGGGCGUAAAGCGAGUGCGGGCGG
rnacentral:rRNA from 1 species